UUGACAUAUCAAAGAGAUGUAUUUUUAACUGGGUCUCUUGAAUGAGUUUAUUUUUCACAAGUUUGUAUUCAAGAUAUUUCAAGUAUGACCUGAAAAAUUGUGGUUUUCUAUAGAAUUAAUCAUUUGUGUUGGUUGACUUUGCUAAUAUUACUCUAUUAACAAUGUGACAGAUUCCUCCAUGAAACCAGCUUUUUUUUAAAUUCCAGUUAGUAUUUGCUGAUGAUGACGUGAAGAUAGGGACAAAUGAAACAAAUGAUUAUUUAUCUAUUCUGAAGGCAAACCUAACUGGAAUGGGUGGGCAUAGUUUUGUAGAUGGUAGUAUUAAUUACAGAUCCCAGUUAAUCUGUCUUAUCCUUUGUAUAAUUGCAGCAUCAAGAUUAAGUCAACAAGAAACACCACUGCCUAAAUUUGGAUCAAUUGUGAACUGUUUAUAAAUUUAUAUAAAUUACACAGUAUCGGUAAAAUAAGACUAGUGAUAUGAAGGAAGGAAAUGUUUUAUUUAACGACGCACUCAACAUAUUUUAUUUACGGUUAUAUGACAUGGACAUAAGGUUAAGGACCACACAGAUAUUGAGAGGGGGAACCCGCUGUUGCCACUUCGUGGGCUACUUUUUCAAUUAGCAGCAAGGGUUCUUUUAUACGCACCAUCCCACAGACAGGAUAGUACGUACAACAGCCUUUGUUGUGCCAUUUGUGGACCACUGGCUGGAACGAGAAAUAGCCCAAUGGGUCUAUCGAUGGGACUAGUGAUAUGAAUUACAAAGUUUCAGUGUUUGUGAAGAAAUGAUAAUAGUAAUUGUAAGUUUUGUGAUCUAUAGGUUACUGAACCCGUAAUUUAUGAUAACCUGUACAUGGGUUACCAGGCAGUAGACUUCUUUUAAUGCCUUCAUUUUACCACUUGUGUAUAUACUGUCAAGAUGGAGUUUAAAUUCAGUUGCUUUUUUGGUACAGUAAAAACAAUGCGUCUUCUAGCAGUCGAUCUCAUCCCUCUGGUUUGUAUUUUACUCUAUCAAGUUGUGGCUGCAUGGCACAGACCUCUCCAUUUAAGGGGAGUUUUCACUCGCUCCCACUCACUCUUAAGAGUAAUUUUUAGCUAUCCUUAGCGUGUGAAUUUACUUGAUACCAAUAUGGUAGUAUCUUGAAAAGCCUCCCCAUAAACCAAGUAUGGGAAGUAAUUGAUCACUGCCCCUCAAGAUCUGAUGACCAUAAUUCACAAAACAUAAUUUGUACUCUUGGCUAAUGCUAGCGGUUUUUAAAAGUCUGUUCUUUAAAUUACUUGAAAUUUACUUUUUGUUGCCUCAACUGAGGAAUUUCUGCUAAUUAUACAUGGAGAAUAUUUUAAUUGGUGAUCAUUUAUUUUGCAAACAUUUCUUAAAUCUUACAUUCAUUGACAAGGUGGAAGUGAUGAACAUGAUUCUGCCAAAUGAUAUAAAGUGAUGUCAACAUUUUUCCGUUCCAUUUCUGAUCCAUUCUGUCAUGAAUUUCACAUUUUACUUCACUGGUGUGUACAGGUGAAAUAUUUAUAUUGUAGAAUUAUAGUAAUAGGUAACUCGGCCCACAAUCAGGCUUGUAAAAAUAAAUAUUUAUUUUUGCAAAUUUAAUGUUACAUGUUUUGUUGUAGCGUCUGUGGAAAUAUGCUCACAUGUGGUAUGUUGGUUUUAGGAGCGUUUACUCUUUAAGGUAUGUCCUGUUUAAGUGAAUUGCAAAUACUUUGUUACUAGUAUUUUGUAGAAGUCUUUGUGGGUUUAAUAAAUUAAUGUAUAUCAAAAGCAAUUUUUGUUAAAAUGUUUAGUUGAUAUGUUUUUUUUUUACAUUUAAAAAAUUGUGAAGAAAUCUAGAUUUGGCUACUACAUCUUAACGACUAGUAUAUCAAAGGUCGUAGUUUGUCCUGUCAUGUCUGGGAAAUUACUGCUAAUGGAAAAAUGUAGUGGUUUUCCAUAUUUACAUAAAAUGUUCUGCAUUUAUUUAUUUCAGCAGUAAAUUAGAAAGGAGAUUUGAUCAAAUACCGGGAGGGUUGACAGGUCUGCCAGUAAUAUGUAGAAAGGGAGAAACACAUUGUUCAUUUAUGUGUAAGAUGAUGCAUUUUAAAGGUUGUCUUCACUUGAAAUGGAUGAAAUUUGACACCUCCCGUUAACAUCGACUCGUCCAGGACACCAUGUGGAACUGCUGAUUAAAUGACAAUACAAGACUAUAACUGAUGGUCAUCACUACAUUUUUAGCACUGCCAAUAUUCGCGGUGGAAAGAACUGGCUGGAACGAGAAAUAGCCCAAUAGGCCUACCAACGGGAAUCGAUUUCAAGAUCAACGCAUGAGACAAAUGCUGUACGACUGAGCUAUGUCCUGCCCCCAUUGAUUUGAAAUUUCAGUGGAUACAGACAGUUAAAUGUAAAUUCAAUAGGCAGCUAAGUUGUAUGGUAUUUUAAUGACAUGGGGGCCAUAUAUACAUGAAACUUUCAUCUUGUGUUGAUCAAGAUUCCAACCUACCAAAAAAUAAGUAAAUAUUAUUGAUGACUUGAAUGACGUACAAAAAAACUAAAUGUGAUUAACAUACAAUAUACAUAUAGUAAUUAACAUGAACAACAGUAUAGUAUCUAGCAUAUCGGAAUCAAGAAAAACCAAGACGGAUAACCGGAAAUCUAUUUUCAAGAUCCAGGUGAAGCACACUAGAACGAUACUAGAUGAUUAAAUAGUCCGUUAUAUUUAGAAAAAAUGUAAUUUCAGUA